rnacentral:lncRNA from 1 species
CAUCUACGGUGCCUUAUUGACUGCACUGACUUCUGCAAUAACUUACUUAUUUCAGACAGACCCCCCAGGUGCAGUCCACUUGGCAGAAAUCCGCUUGGCCAGGCUUGUACAACCGAUACUCAGAGGUACCAAAGGAUCCUUACACCCUGGAGGCUACGGUCACCUCCCAAGGGAGCUGCCCCCUGCUCUGGCUGGUCAAACGGAACCAAGUCCGUCUUCCUGAGAGGUUUGGUCCCCUUCAACCAGCUACAGCAGGGCUGGCAAUACCCAGUCCUUGGAGAAACAGAAGAGAUUCGCCU